rnacentral:lncRNA from 1 species
CUGGGCUGGGGCACGCAGCACACUCACUCGUCGGCUUUGGGACCCCCCUGUCUCGAAACGCCGACAACUGUGAUAAAAUGUCAUGUGUGACUGCAUCAUGGGAAAAAUGGGCUGUGAUGGAAUUUUCUGCAGGUACACUAACCUCGAAAACGUAUGUGUAGCUGACGACUAGCAAAAUACCGUGAGAGUUGUAAGUAUGCCACCGAUAUAGAACGUUAUUGCCACAUUAUAUUGGCAAAAAUCAGUGAGGACGCAUAGGAUGAGCAUGCAUCCUUAUUGUUGCAUCAUGUUUGUCACCUAUACACCCAAAAUGCUUCUCUCAUCUUUAUUCCAGUAACCAUUGAUUGUAGAUAAUAUGGUGUAAUGUUGAAUUAUGAGCUUAUGAUGAAAUAGGUGUCCUCCAUUCAUUAAGAGACCUCUUAGGGUGCUUUAUGUGCUUGCUCUUGUGUUUGAUGUGCCGAUAGAAAGUUGGUAAUUGAUUGCCUAAACCCAAAACUAGGCCAUGUUCUUAUUUAGUGAACCAUGACCCAAAGUUGAUUUUUCCGUUAUCACUCCAUGACCAGACAUAUAAAAAUAAAUGCCUAGAUAAUUUCUUUGUUGGACCUAAAGUGUACCCAGACUUAAAAAAAAUCUCAAGUCAUGUCUCCUUCUAGAGCCAUUCCCUUAUUCAGUUGAUGCAGGUUGAGGUCUCUAUUGUGUUUGGUCUCUCCUUGCGGAUUAUCUUAUCCCUUGUCAACCUGACCUAGAAAAGACCUGUCCGAGUAUUCUCUUGAAUUUGAUGCCUUUGGUUUCACCAUAUCUAUCAAAGGCAUACCAACUUAAUUUGAUGAUUGUUUUCCCUUCGUAUCUAAUCAGAUACUAAUCCUUGACCUUGUAAUCUCUAUGAUGGGCAUAGAAAUAUGCCUGGGGCUGAAUUAACAGUCUCCCAUCAUACUCCCUUCAUCAACCAAUUUAGGUUAUGGCCGUGUUUUGUUCAUUUCAUCGGGUCAUAAUCUAUUUGGCUCUCUACUUGUAACCAUUCUUACAGGUGGAGUUUCUCCUUGUAUAUUGUCACCCU